UGGCAAAUACAUACAAAAGUGUAAAACGUGUAAGGCUAACGUGAACGUUUGUUUUUUUUCUGUCAUUAUAGAUGCUAGUUUGGUGAAAGUUCACACUGAGUGCUUCAAAUCAUUCAGACGAGAUGCUGUUUUUAGGGCAGUUUAUUAAAGAAGACCUGACAUGGAUGACUUCCAAUGAGAAACGACUACUAAUACUUAUAUAAAUUCAUUACAGAAGGACCCUACCAGACUAUAUUUGAAUACGGCAUACCCAUGAAUUCUGGAACUGUUAUUCCUUAACCCAGUUUGGAGGAUAAGAGCUUACCAACUAGUUAUAAAUAUGCUGAGGUGAUGUAUUGCAAAAUAGCCAACAUACAACAAUAUGGAUGACCCUCUGUCUGGUCAACAGGAGUUUAAAUAUGGACGGGACAGUGAUGUGGCAGCUCUUCCCUGGCUCAUUCACCUCUUGCCUUCAUUUGUGAAAGGAAGAAAGACUGGAGAGGGUCAAUGUGCAACUGAAGCUACUGAUUGUGCUGUGUGAUGAGCAUCAAUCCAUGCUUUGAGGUGGAUGAAUCAGCACAGCCCUGCCUGCACUGCGUUGGGAACAGAAGUUGCAUCCAGAAUUUUUGCAUCAUUCUGGACCAAAAAGCCAUUCCCUCCAUGAUGAAGACCACUGAUGCAGCCUUCCACUACAUCAUGAGUAAAACAACUACAGAACUAAAUACCAGGUUGGAACGUAUUUAAGAAAAAUGAAACAUCUUUUGAAUUGAAAUGUCUGUUUUGUUAUGGAAAAAUCUUUAGUAUUGUGAAGGAUAGCAUUUCUGCCUGCCAGUAAGGUAAUUACAGUGUAUUUUAAUGUUCAAGUUUUGAGUAGGGUGGCUAAUUUUUUUUAAACUCUCAUUUGAUAUAUUAAAGACCUUAUAAUAAGUGGUUUUCAUGUCCCUGCGCUGUGGUAUAAGAUAACUUUCAUUAUUCCAUACUGUAUUCUGUAUUCUAAUUGUAGCUGAUGUAUUUAAAUAAGCAGUAUUAAAUGCAAAGUGUUGUGUGUAUCAAUGUAAAUAUUAAAUGUGAUGUACUUUAAUAAAAAGAGGUUUUGCAAUAUUUCUUG